GCGGAAAAAUAUAGCCUAGUGGACAUGGCAUCUGCCCGGUAAGCGGAACACUGUGGGUUCGAUUCCCAUCCCUAAACA
rnacentral:tRNA from 1 species